CUGAGCCGAAGUCAGAUGACCAACCAACGGAGCCACCCAGGCGCCCCAUAGAGUUUUAAUUUAAAAAUAUAUACAGUUAUUAAAUUUUCCACACGAGAUCUUUAUUGAACAAUUACAAUGGCCAGUUAACAUUAAUGACUCUAUUUUGACCUAAUAUCUUAAAACACCUUUGCUUUGAAAGCGAAAGCAUGAAAAAGAGCUGAAAGGAGAAAUGAUGUAAUUAGCAUUUUCAGGACAAUACCUGUUUGAGUCAUUCAACCAGGUGCACCGGCGAUGUGCAUAUAAUUGUAUGUCCAAUCUAACUUGAAGGACCUUCUAGAAAGAGAGGUAGGUGUCAGAAAUAGAGACCAGAGCUGCUGUGUGAAAUCAGCCAUUUGCCAUUCUACUCUGAUUAGGGCUUCUUGCUUGACCAGUAAUGAGUAGAAACUGAAUUACAGACUUUGGCCUUUUCUGCGGGCUCCCGUUAUGCCAAAAAGCAGCUGAUUUAUCCGUGAGAUCUGUGUACUAAAUGAAAUGGCCCAGAUAAACAGAUGGCCUGGCCACGGUGGUAUUUCACAGCAACAUGUGCUUGUUUGAAUAACAUGGUCAUAAACCUUUCACUCUGGGUCUAAAAUUAAAUUGUGGCUUUUGGAUCUUACCUGGGGCUACUCAACAGAAAGCAGAUUCAAAUGUCAAAUUUAUGGCUUGGUUUCCUCAGUAAGUUCUACAUAAUUUUCUACAUUCAUUUGUAAGAAGAACUUAAAACGUGUAUCUUUCGAGUGUGUGUGUGUUGGGGGACAUUGUACCUACAGAUCCAAACCCGACAAUUCUGAUUUUCGACAAAACCAAUUACUGCGUAGGGUUUUUGUUUUGUUUUGUUUUGCCUUAUCAAAUGAAAAAUAUGCUUCGCUGCCAUUCUGAACCUGAAGUUUUACAUUCUGACACAAUAGCCCGCCAAGACUCUGGGAUCCACUCUGCUAUAAUAUAGUGACUGAUUGUCUCUGUAUCUUAAAAAAGUAGGGAAAGAAGCACUCUGUUUCUAUAGCAUUCUGCUCUAAAUGCUAAUCUGAUGUGGUAUCUAUGACUCUUAACAUCAGUCCUCACAGGAGAGCCAAGGAUGAUGUUGGUGGUGUGGAUACUUCCCCUUAUCAAUGGUGAAAUAGCAUGAAUUGAGAGAGGAAACAGCAAAGCAGUUCAGGACCAUUUUCUUCUCAUCGCUCAGAUGUACAAAGAAUAAAUAAGACUGACGUUUUUGCUUUGUUAAAAUCAUGAAUUAUUAUUUGAGAUAGUCUAAUAAACCUCAUCCUAUUCUUUGUGUUUAUCCAGCCGCUACCCCCAAGAAUAAAAGAAAUUGCCAUUAUUGUUAGAAUAGUGAAUUGGUAUUAUGGAGAUUAUGUUCCCUUCUCUCUUUACUAUUAUAAUUUUUAAUAACAUUUAUUUUGAGGUAAUUAUAAAUUCACAUGCAGUUGAAAGAAACAAUAUAGAGGGUUUUCUGUGUACCCUUCACCUAGUUUCUCCCAGCAGUAAAAUCUUGAAACAACUAUAGUACAAUGUCACAAACAAGAAAUUAACAUUGAUAUAAUUCGGGCCUUAUUCAGAUUCCAGUUCGAAAUGUACUCGUUUUUUGUGCAUGCACCUGUGUUUAUGCAUUUAAUUCUAUGCAGUUUUGUCACACGUGUAGAUUCAUGUGACCGACACCACAGUCAAGAUACAAAACAAUUCUGUCAUGAGGAUCCCUUGUACUAUUCUUUUGUGGCCAUAGCCUCCUCCCUCCGUUGUCCUCUCCCUAACCCCUUCUAACCACUAAUCUGUUCUCCAUCCUUCUACACAUGUCAUUUCAAGAAUUCUAUAUAAAUGGAAUCAUACAGUAUGUAACCUUUUGAGAUUGGCUUUUUAACUCAGAAUAAUCCCCCUGAGAUCUAUCCAAGUUGUAGUUCAUAACAUAAAUGUACCACGGUUUAUUUAGUCAUUCACUCCAUUCAAGGCUAAACGGUCAAAAAACCUGUGCUUUUUCUCCCCCCAAUUUUGGCCUAUUACAAAUAUGAACAUCUGUGUAUAGGUUUGGGGGGGGAACGUAAGUUUCAUUUCUCUGGGAUAAAUGCCCAGGAGUGCAAUUGUUGAAUUUUAUGGUAAACGCUUAUUUAGUUUUAUAAGAAACUUCGCUACUCGUUUCUAGAUUGGCUGCACUAUUUUAUAUUCCCAGCAGCAACACAUUAGAUUGUUCCGUAACAAUAAAAUCACGUUCCACACACCUUUGAGAGCCCAGGCCAAUUCAAGUUCUCCGUGACAUCUCUCCCUCAUCAUUUCCGGCUAUGCUUACCCCUCUCUUACAUCUUGUAAUAUUUUGAACCAUUCACUAAUAUUGGUAGACUUUCAAUAUUUAAAUAUUUCUUAUUUUAAAGCCUCCCCAUUCUAACUACACUGUAAACUCGCCAAGCCCUAGGAUCAUUAUUUUCCCUUGCUAUUCCCCCUGCUGAGUCUGACACAAUAAUUAGUAAUCAGAAAAUAGGUGUUGAAUGAUUAAAGUUGAAUACAUAAGAAGUAAUAGGAGUCAAUUAAAUGUGUUGUAGUUUUCAAAAAAUUUACCAACUUUCUCUUUAUCAGACUUAGCUAAAUUCUAGAACCAUGGUUAUUAAGCGAAUUGCUACAGAUACAGCACACUUAAAUGUGUGACUAUUCUAUUUUGUUCCCCAAAUAAUCUUGAUACCUUUUCUAGGAAGAUGUUACACCAUUAGUGAAAUAGCAAAAUAUUAUAUCAAUUUUUGCUUAAAGUGGUUUAAAUUACGUCUUUUCUCCAGGUGUUUCUUACCUCGUCAUCCUAGCAUUAGUUCACAGAAGAGCAAUGAUGUGUUGGUAAAUGUUUAAUGACCAGCUCUCCGGAAGGAAAAAGAAAAUGCCCUCGGGUGUAGCUUUUGCCACUGAGUAAAUACUCUGACCGAGGCCAAUUUCAAGCUACCAUUUUGAUGUCACUGAACACGAUUUAGGGAGAGAUGCCUACAGGAAGAUCCAGUGAGCCAGUAUGAACUAGCCCCAGCAUUCCAGUGCUAGGGGUAUAUUAAAUGCAACUAAUGGAAAAUGUUCUACAAUAUAUAUCAACGUUCAAAUGCGUCACAUGCACUCAAACAAUGAGACUUUUUAAAUGGUUUCAGUCUCCAAAAUCUCUUUGCUCACCAGCAACCGCUAGUGUUUAAUGCUUUCCCAGAAGUAGCCCGUUCUACCCGCCCCCACCCCCCAGCUGAUUUCUAUUCAUCCCUUUUGUCUGUGCUCAGAGGCCUUUUUCUUAGUUCCCACUGACCACUCCCUCUCCCUCACACAACCAGCUUAACACCCGACCACAUAUCAUAAUUUCUCAUCACGGUUUUACUUUGCCUUCAGGGUACCAUGCACGAUUUAUGGAUAUAUAUUUUUGUUUCUAUAAUGUCUGAAACCCUCACUAAACUAGAUACCACAGGAAGGCUGGGACUGUGUCCCCAGCAGCACCAUGAAUGAAUGGGUGGGUCCGUUGCCUUGACUGAGAAUUCCUGCUCAGCAAUACCUCACAGGUUUCACCUCCUUCUGCCCUGGGGUGGCCCCUCCUCUGCUCUAGGCCCAUAACUCUUCAGUGGUUAAGAUGUAACAGAGCAAAAGAAGCUAUUGUGUUUCCAGCCAUUUGCAUCUGUUGAAGAAGGUCAUUGAAUGGACGUGACCGCAGGUUGACCCUCAACUCCAGAGCUGGUCUGGGGCAAUCGGAGGCUCCUCCCCUGGCCCAUCCAUGGAGUCCUCGUUCUGCAGAUUCUGCCCCCCAGUUCCAAAGCCGGAGCCAUUUUCAGGGAUACAGACGUGAGAGAGCAAAGCGCUGCUGAGACAACCUGGACGAGCGAGACGCUUGACUGAAGCCAGGAUUAAUGCUUAGAAUGUCAGCAAAUUCAACCCAUCACCCCUCUGAAUACAUUCAUCUUCCUACCAGGGUAGCAAGAGUGGAGAGAUUUCUUGAUGCAAAAUGCCUGAAGUCCUGCUAUUGCAUUAGCCUUUAUGGUUGGGAAUUGGACGAUUCACCAGAAGCACCGAGGGAUCAAAGCAGAAGGUGAAUGCCCCGAGUCUGAGAGAGCGUCGGACGCAUGAGGAGAAGCAAAGGCAAGUUUUCUGUGAAUGCCAAGUGCACGUUCCCCUGGGUAGAAGGGAGGACAGCUGUUAGGUUGCUCCCUGAUGGAGUUAAUCUUGACAAGCUUUUUGGCAGUUGUUUCAUCUUUAUGAUACCAUAAGAUAAAAAUAGUAAUCUCUGUUAGAGCUUUACGGUUUUUUAAAUGCUUCAAAUUACAUGACUUUUAAUAGCCUAUGCUCACAAUCACCCUGGGAGUUAAUGCAUUUUUAUUGUCUGGGCUGAUCUGGGACAAGUCACAGUCCCCUCCACUUUGUUCCUAGCCAUCACCACUUCGUGUGAUCCUGACCCUAUUGUUCCCUCCAUUAAGGCCUGACUUGUCUCUGACCCUUGCCUCUGACUCCCAUUUACUGGUCUGCCUUUGCUCUUUGAACUUUUCAAAAUGCUCAUGGGUGCACAGCCGGACUCCAAGUCCUCCAAAUACUUGAGGCGACUUAUCCAGUACUUUCCACUUUUUACCACCAGCCAAGUCCCCCCAUUCUUCCUAUCCCUCACCCAGGUAAUUCUCUUCUUUACCCAUCCAGUGGGUGAGAAAUAAACCCGAUUUCCUGAUUGCCUAGUAUUCUAGCUGGGCCCACUUUUUAGACAAGGAAACUGAAGCUGAGAGAAGUUUCCUUGACUAAGAAGAUCACAUGUCUCAUAAAUGCUUGAAUUAUAACCCAAAUUCAAGCUACCUCUAAUUAUCAAUAGGCUAUACAUUAGCCACCCUUUUUAUACUCUCCAAUCAUAUAUCACUCAACAGCAAAUGCUUUUUCAAGGUAAAUUAACUGUCUUUCCUCUAAAAAUGUCAAGACAGGGGCUGCCUCGUAUCUCUUAAUUUUGCAAGUUUAGUGGCAGGACCAUGCACGGGCUGGGUUGCUUUGGCUUAGUGUAAGUUAUAUCAGAUAGGGAUAACAUCAGACAAAUCCAGACAGAAUUAUGUAGUAAACCUACAGCCACAGUUAGGGAGGUUUGUAUGCUCACAUGUGUGCAUGUAUGUGUAGCUUGGAGGGGAAGUUCAGAAGCAGUGGUCAGGGAUCCAGUGAAGAACAUGGCCGAGGGUCUCGUCAUGGAGGGUCUGUAUGUAAUAUUAAGAAAUUUACAUCUUAAAGACGUGAAGACUUGAAUGAGACUUAAAGCGAUUUUCAGCAAAAGAGUAAUAGAAUCACAUUUAUGGUGUUUAUAUUGCAUUUUAUGCCUUCGCACUUGUAUGUACCAUGUAUAUACUCCCAACAGACUUAAAGACAUAAACAAAAUGGUCAAAGUCCUGAGGGGAUUCUCAAACCAUAAGCACAGCCAACAGGAUCAUCUUUCAUCAAGCAAAUUAAUUCCAGCAUCCCUGUUUAUAUCUUCUUGAUGAUUUAUAAAUUUCAUACAAAACAAAGAUUAAAUUAAAUUAUGUGCAAAAACAUAUUUUAAAUCAGAUAUCAACUCCAGAGUUAUGGAACUAUUUUCCAUUUCAUUUUAGAAUACAAUUGCAGAAAACAUAUUGUGUAUUAUAUACCAUUUAAUGAAUUUAAUUUCCAUUAAUAAUAGUACCUUUUUGGAGAUGUCCUUGGCUGACCUCUCUUGGUUUCCCAAAAACAGAAAGAUAGAUAAC